UACGGGGGGGGCAAGCGUUGUUCGGAAUUACUGGGCGUAAAGGGCGCGUAGGCGGUUCGCUAAGUUGGAUGUGAAAACUCUGGGCUCAACCCAGAGCCUGCAUCCAAAACUGGCGGGCUAGAGUUCUGGAGGGGGUAGCGGAAUUCCUGGUGUAGCGGUGAAAUGCGUAGAUAUCAGGAGGAACACCGGUGGCGAAGGCGGCUACCUGGACGGUUUCUGACACUAAGACUCGAAAGCGUGGGGAGCAAACAGG
rnacentral:rRNA from 1 species